rnacentral:lncRNA from 1 species
GUCGACUACCAGGCUGCGUUAGGAGCUACCGUCUUCAGCUUUUUCUCGCUGCUGAGAGCUGUUUUGUUACUCAGUAAAACUCUUCUCCACCGUGCUCACCCUUCAGUUGACCGUGCAACUUCAUUCUUCCUGGACAUAAACCCGGGACCCACAGAACAGCGGGUGCAAAAAGGGCUGUAACGCUUUCCUGGCCGGAUCGCCAAGCUGCAGGUAAGAUGUGCCUGCUUCACCUACUGGCGUGAAUGUAAACUUUCUGAGACCUUCCCAGCCAUGUGGAACUGUGAUUGGGAGCCAGGGAAGGAGUGACACUAUCCCUAGAUGUAGUGAUAUGUUUUACAGGUCCACAGCUGGAAGGAGCUUUCCUUGAUUCUCAAAUGAGACUUUGGACUUUGGACUUUUGAGUCGGUGCUGAAACAAGUUAAGAUUUUUUGGAUUAUUGGGAUGGAGUGACUGUAUUUUGCACAUGAAAAGAACAUGAGUUUUGGAAGGGCCACGCUCUUCAUGCCUGUGUGUUUCCCGCACCCCUGGGAAGGCGAAGGGAAGGAGCUACAUUGUCAAGUGUGGUCCAGCAAGUAAGCAGGUCCUGAGCACCAAACAUAUCACAGGCACUCACUGCUUGGGCCCACCAGUCAACAGGAGCCUGCUAGAUACAGCCAUGUGCCACUCCAACCUCCCUGAGGGCAUGGCCUAUGCACUAUUUGGGGUUUAGAUAGCUCAUGGUUCUGCUGGUUAGGAAGUUCAAGCGCAAGGCCCUGACUUCUGGUAAGUGCUUUCAUGCUGCAUCAACACGACUAAGAAGGUCAAAGAAGAAGUGGACAUGUGAGUAAAGGAAAAACUGGAGGGGUAUUCCUAAAGCCCUAGGGCAUGAACACAAUGCAACCACAUUCUUUGCUGUGGUGUGACAGGAGGGAACUUUGUUCCAGUUUUCACAUAAAUACUCCUUAUUUCCAUCACAGAUUUCAUCAGAAUGGUCUUUCCUAUCAGCAUAUUGGUCACAAUUAUAUAACAAAUCUCUAAGAAGCUCCAAAGUUUUCUUCACCUUUGUACUUUCUUCUGAGUUCUUGCCAGAACCACCCUUAAUUCUUCAUUCAUGGUAAGAUAGACUUUUUCUAGCCUGCUCCUCCUAACUCUUCUAAUCUCUUUCUACUAUCCAGUUCCAAAGCCAACCCCACAUUUUUAUAUACCUAUAUAACAAUGAUCAAUUGUUAGUACCAAUUUUCUAUCUUAGUUUUGUGUUGCUAUAACAGAAUACGUGAGCCUCGGUAAUUUAUAAAGAAAGGAGAUGUAUUUAGCUCAUGGUUCUGCAAGCUGGGAAAUUCAAGGGCAUGGCUCUGGCUUCUGGGAAGGGCUUUCAUGAUGUGUUAUAACAUAACAAAUAAGGUCAAAGAGGAUGUGGACAAGUGUGAAAAGGCAAAAUCUGAAGGGCAUCCCAGCUUUUUUAGUCACUAACCCUCACAAGAACUAAUCUAUUUCCAUCAUAAGUAAUCAAGUCUCACAAGAGCAAGAAAUCACUCACUGUGGUGAGAACAACCACCAAGCUAUUCAUGAGGGAUUUGCCGUCUUGAUACAAACAGCUUCUACUAGGCCCUACCUCUCAACACUCCCACAUUGAGAAUCAAAUUUCUUUUCUAGUUGUGGCUUGUUAUAUUACCCAGGCUGCGCUCUGACUCCUGGGUUCAAGGGAUCCUCCUGCUUCAGCCUCCCAAGUGGCUGGGACUAGAGGCACAUGCUACCAUGCUUGGUGCGAGAUCAAAUUUUAGCAUGAGUUUUGGUGGGGAUGAACAAACUAUAUCCAAACCAUAGCAAGACGCUAAAGGACACUGAGAUCCUCUGACACUUAGAGAAAACAGAAAGAUGAUUGUUGGUACCAACACAUAUCAUAGGUAAUUGACACUUCUAUGUAGGAAACAGAGUAACCACUCAAAAUUGCAUUUUAUUUCUAUUACUGACACCAUUUCAUUCAUUGAAGAAGAACUAAUAUAAACAUAUCAAGUUCUACACAUAAAAGCCUACGUGUAGAAAAUAUGAUAGUCACCACUGGAAACUAAAAAUUUUAUUGGAGACCUAUGAUGUAUCCUUCUCUGUUGUCCUAUUGCUUUUUUGUUAAAUUAGAUUAAAUAUCACACUUGAAUCCGUAUCUCUAAAGUUUUUGUCAUAUAAUGCACAAUUUGUUCACUUAAGCUGAUUAUUUUUACAUUUCUUCAGGUUUUUUUUUAAAUAAAACUGCCUGCCAUCUUUUUGGAAACAAAUGACAUGUUCCAGGACAGUCUCACACACACAUAAAGAUUAAAUGCAAUAAUCUAGAAUUCUGAGUAUCAUGUGGCUUUGUGGUUGGUUUAUUAAGGCUGCCAAAGCAUUUUUGCCAGAAUAGAAAUUCAUGGAGAAAAUUGUGAGUAAAAACAUUAGCUUUUCAAGAAAUAUCGAGGAAUAUAGUCCUUUAUUCUUAUGUAUUACAGGUACAAUGCUUGAGAUAAAAGUACAGAGAAGAAAACAUGAAAGGCCCGAUUUUUAUAAUCUUACAGUCUAGAGAAGGAGAAAGUUACAUAAAUAGAUAAUUUAGAUUCAGUAGAAAAAUUACUAGAAUAGCAACAUAGACAACAUGCUGUAACAACAGAGAGUGGGGCUAGUGAACUCUAGUGAUUUAAGUAGUCUUUAUGAAGAAAAGUAUGUUACUUUAAGUUUUUUAUUUAAACAGCUUUAUUGAUGUAUAAUUAACAUAUCAAAAGUUAAUCUAUUUAAAUAUACUAUUCGGUAGUUUUUGUAUAUUCACAGCUGUACAGCAACCAACGAAAUCAAAUUUUAGAAAGUUUUCAUCAAUCCAAAAUGAAUCCCCACACAUAUUACAGGUCACUCUCCACCUACCCCACUCCCGCACCCUAGGCAAACACAAAUCUGUUUUCUCCCUCUAUAGAUCUGCCUAUUUGGGCUAUUUUAUGUAAAUAGAAACAUAAACAAGUGGCCUUUUGUGACUUACUUCUAUCACUUCCCAUAACAUUUCUGAGGUUUAUCCAUUUUGCACCAUGUGUCAGUAGAUUGCUUUUUAUGGCCAAAUAAUAUUCCAUUGUGUAAAUAUAUUACAUUUGUUGAUUUAAUUUGGUAGCUUCCACUAUUUGGCUAUUGGGAAUAGUGAUGCUAUAAAUAUUUGUGUACAGGUUUUGUUUGAGCACUUAUUUUCAUUUCUUUUGGAGUUAAAUUGCUGAGUCAAAUAGUUCUGUGAGAAACAACAAAAACUGUUUCUCAAAACAGCCACACCAUUUUACAUUCUCAUAAUCAAUGUAUGAGUGUUCCAGUUUCUCUUUAUUACUUGUUAACUCUUGUUACUGUCUGCCUUUUUUGUUAUAGCCAUCCUAGUGGGUAUGAAGUGGUAUCUGAUAGUUUUAGUCUGUAUUCACCUAAUAAUGUUGCGUACCUCUUUAUGUGUUUGUUAGUCAUUUGUAUAUCUAAUCUGAAAAAAAAAAGGUUUAUUCAAAUUGAGAUAUUUACCUUUUAAUUAUGGACUUGUAAGAGUUUCUUAUUUAUUCUGGAUACAAAUGCUUUAUCAGCUAAAGGAUUCGCAAAUCUUUUCUCUCAUUUUGUGGACUGGCUUUUCACUUUUUUGAUGGUAUGACUAGCAACACGAAAGUUUUUUAUAUUAGUAAAGUGCAAUGUAUCUAUGUUUUUCUUUCUUCACUUGUAUUUUGGUGUCAUAUCUGAGAAAUCAUUGCUUAAUGGAAAGUCACAAAGUUAUUCAUGUUUUCUUCUAAAUAUGUUAGAGAUUUCACUUUUACAUUUGGGACUACAAUCUAUUUUGAGUUAAUUUUUUGUGUAUGGUUUAAGGAAGAAGUCCAAUUUCAUUUAUUCUCUUAUAUGAAUAUUCAAUUAUGCAGCCCGAUUUGUUGAAAAGAUUAUUAUGCCCCUAUAAUAAUCUUGAAGGCCUUGUCAAAUCUCAAUAAUCCUAUCCAGUUGACCUAUAUGUCUAUUCUUAUGCCAGUGCUAUACAGUCUUUAUUAUUUUCUUUGAAAUUAGUUUUAAAAUUGAGAAGUGUUAGUUCACCAGAAGUGUUCUUUUUCAAGAUUGUUCUAAGUAUCCUGGGACCUUGAAUUUUGUAGAAAUUUUAGGAUCAACUUGUCAAUUACUGUAAAAAAAAUGGCAGCUAAAUUUUAUUAUUAUUAUUAUUAUUAUUAUUAUUAUACUUUAAGUUUUAGGGUACAUUUGCACAAUGUGCAGGUUUGUUACAUAUGUAUACAUGUGCCAUGUUGGUGUGCUGCACCCAUUAACUCGUCAUUCAGCAUUAGGUAUAUCUCCUAAUGCUGUCCCUCCCCCCUCCCCCGACCCCACAACAGUCCCCGGUGUGUGAUGUUCCCCUUCCUGUGUCCAUGUGUUCUCAUUGUUCAAUUCCCACCUAUGAGUGAGAACAUGCGGUGUUUGGUUUUUUGUCCUUGCGAUAGUUUGCUGAGAAUGAUGGUUUCCAGCUUCAUCCAUGUCCCUACAAAGGACAUGAACCCAUCAUUUUUUAUGGCUGCAUAGUAUUCCAUGGUGUAUAUGUGCCACCUUUUCUUAAUCCAGUCUAUCGUUGUUGGACAUUUGGGUUGGUUCCAAGUCUUUGCUAUUGUGAAUAGUGCCGCAAUAAACAUACGUGUGCAUGUGUCUUUAUAGCAGCAUGAUUUAUAAUCCUUUGGGUAUAUACCCAGUAAUGGGAUGGCUGGGUCAAAUGGUAUUUCUAGUUCUAGAUCCCUAAGGAAUCGCCACACCAACUUCCACAAUGGUUGAACUAGUUUACAGUCCCACCAACAGUGUAAAAGUGUUCCUAUUUCUCCACAUCCUCUCCAGCACCUGUUGUGUCCUGACUUUUUAGUGAUUGCCAUUCUAACUGGUGUGAGAUGGUAUCUCAUUGUGGUUUUGAUUCACAUUUCUCUGAUGGCCAGUGAUGAUGAGCAUUUUUUCAUGUGUUUUUUGGCUGCAUAAAUGUCUUCUUUUGAGAAGUGUCUGUUCAUAUCCUUUGCCCACUUUUUGAUGGAGUUGUUUGUUUUUUUCUUGUAAAUUUGUUUGAGUUCAUUGUAGAUUCUGGAUAUUAGCCCUUUGUCAGAUGAGUAGGUUGCAAAAAUUUUCGCCCAUUCUGUAGGUUGCCUGUUCACUCUGAUGAUGGUUUCUUUUGCUGUGCAGAAGCUCUUUAGUUUAAAUAGAUCCCAUUUGUUAAUUUUGGCUUUUGUUGCCAUUGCUCAAUGAAAUAAAAGAGGAUACAAACAAAUGGAAGAACAUUCCAUGCUCAUGGGUAGGAAGAAUCAAUAUCAUGAAAAUGGCCCUACUGCCCAAGGUAAUUUAUAGAUUCACUGCCAUCCCCAUCAAGCUACCAAGACUUUCUUCACAGAAUUGGAAAAAACUACUUUGAAGUUCAAAUGAAACCAAAAAAGAGCCCACAUUUCCAAGUCAAUCCUAAGCCAAAAGAACAAAGCUGGAGGCAUCAUGCUACCUGACUUCAAACUAUACUACAAGCCUACAGUAACCAAAACAGCAUGGUACUGGUACCAAAACAGAUAUAGACCAAUGGAACAGAACAGAGCCCUCAGAAAUAAUGCCUCAUAUUUACAACUAUCUGAUCUUUGACAAACCUGACAAAAACAAGCAAUGGGGAAAGGAUUCCCUAUUUAAUAAAUGGUGCUGGGAAAACUGGCUAACCAUAUGUAGAAAGCUGAAAGUGGAUCCCUUCCUUACACCUUAUACAAAAAUUAAUUCAAGAUGGAUUAAAGACUUACAUGUUAGACCUAAAACCAUAAAAACCCUAGAAGAAAACCUAGGCAAUACCAUUCAGGACAUAGGCAUGGGCAAGGCAGCUAAAUUUUUGAUGGGUACUGCACUGAAUCUGUAGAUGAAUUUGGAGAGUGUUGCCAUCUUAACAAUAUUGUCUUCUGGUCCAUAAAUGUAGGAUAUCUGUAUAUUUACUUAUAUCCUCUUACUGUCUUUUAAUAAUUUUAUAUAGUUCUCAAUGGAUAAGUGUUGCACUUAUAUUGUUAAAUUUCUUCCUAAAUACUUCAUUUUUGUUUUUGCUGUUUUGAAUGGAAUUGUUUUCUAAUCUCAAUUUUUUUCAUUGAUAGUUUUUGGAAAUUCAAUUAAUUUUAAAUACUAAUUAUAUAUUUUGCCUUGUUGAAUUCAUGCAUAAGGUCUAACAGUUUUUAGUGUCCUGCAUGGGAAUUUCUAUGUACAAUAUUAGGCUUUUCACAAAUAGAAAUGCAUUUAUUUUUUAUUUUUUCCAAUCUGAAUAGCUUCUCUAUAUUUUUAUUUAACUUAAUUAUCCUGAUUAGAACCUCAAGAGAUAUUGGACAGAAGUGGCAAGAGUGGUCAUCUUUGUUUUCUUUUGACUCAUAAAGAAAAAAAAAAUUUUUUUUUGAGACAGAGUCUCACUCUGUUGCUCAGGCUGGAGUGCAUUGGUAUGAUCUCAGCUCACUGCAACCUCUGCCUCCUGGGGUCAAACAAUUCUCCUGCCUCAGCCUCCCGAGUAGCUGGAAUUACAGGUGCCUACCACCAUGCCUGGCUAAUUUUUGUAUUUUUAGUAAAGACAGGGUUUCAGCAUAUUGGCCAGGCUGGUCUCAAACUCCUGACCUCAGGUGAUCCGCCUGCCUCUGCCUCCUAAAGUGCUGGGAUUACAGGCGUGAGCCACCACACCCGGCCAAGAGAAGUUUUUAUGCUUUUCCAAUUUAGCAUGAUGUUCAUUGUAGGUUUUCAAGCACAUGAUGUUUUUUCAGUUUGAGGCAUUUCCCUUAUAUUCCAAACGUGUUGAGUAUUUUUUUGUCAUGAAUGAUGUUGGCAUUGUCCAAUUUUUUUCACAUCUGUAGACAUAAUUGUGUAAUUUUUGUCUUUUAUUUUUAAAAUAUAGUUUAUUAUAUGGGUGGAUUUACAGAUGUUAAACCAAGUUUGCAUGCCUGGGAUAAAUUCCCCUUUUUCAUGGUGUAUUUUUUUUAAUGUAUGUUGCUGGCCUUGGUUUGAUAAUUUUUUCUGCAACUAUAUUCCUAAGUGAUAUUGCUUUGUCAUUUUCUUGUGAUGUUUUGAUUUGGUUUUUGAAUUAGGGUAAUAAUUGCCUCAAAGAGUAACUUAUAGGUAUUCUCUAAUCUAUUUUUAAAUAAGUUUCUGAAAGAUUGAAAAUUAUUAUUUAAAUAUUUUGUAUAAAUUCAACAAUGAAGCCAUUUGAGUCUGGACUCCUGUAGAAUGUUUCCUUAUUACUAGAUCAAUCUUUUCACUUGUAUAAAUAUAUGUAGAUUUUCCUUGUCUUGUUGAGUCACUAUUGUAGUUUGCAUUUUUUCUUAGAAAUGUAUCUAUUUUAUCUAAAUUAUCUAAUUUUCAUUUAUGCUAUUCAUGCAUAAUAUUUUUAUGUAAGUUUAGAAGUUAUAUUACCUCUUGAGUUCUUGAUUUUGGCAAUUUUAAGUAUUCUCUUAUUUUUUUCAUGGUUAAUGAAGCUAAAGUUUAAAAAAAUUUUGUUUCUGUGAUUUUCUCUGUUUUGUUACUUCCUAUUUCAUUAAUUUCUGCUCUAUUAUUUACUAUUUCUUUCCUUUUGCUAGCUUUGAUUUAGUUUAGUGUACUUUUCCUAGUGUCUUGUGGAGGUUAGUUUAGUGAGUUGUUAGACUGCUUUCUUCUUUUAAAUAUUAGUAUUUAUAGUUAUAAAUCUUCUUACACUGUUUUUUUGUGUGCAUGUCUCACAAGUGUUGAUUUGUAGUGUUUUUAUUUUCAUUCAUCUGAAAGCAUUUUUUAAUUUUUCUUGUAUAUUUUUACAUUUGUUGGUUUUAAAUGUGCUGUUUGAUUUUCACAUAUUUAUGAAUUUCCUGAAGUUUCUUGUUUUUCAUUUAUUUUACUCCAUUGUGAUUAGAAAAAUAUACAUUGAACAAUUUUAAUUAUUUUUAAUUUAUUGAUUUUUAUAUUAUGACCUAGCAUAUAGUAUACCUUAGAGAAUUUUUCAUUUACACUUGAGAAUAAUUUGCAUUUUGAAAUUGUUGGGUAGCAUAUUAUAUGGAUAUCUAUUAGAACUACAUGGUUUGCAGUUUUGUUUACAUCUUCUAUUUGUUUUUCAUCAUCUGCCUAGUUGUUUUAUCCAUUAUAGAAAUUUAGCUAUUGAAGUUUCCAAUUACUAUUGUUAAAUUGUUUCUUUCUUCAUUUUUCUCAAUGACUCUGCAUGCACUUGAGUGCUCUGUUGUUAGGUGCAUACAUCUUUAUAGUUGUUAUACUUUUCUGAUACUUCAAUGCUUUUGUUAUUAUAAAAAUGUUACAUUUUAUCUCGAUAACAAUUUUUACACUAAAAUGUACUUCAUCUUAUGUUAACAUAGCCACUCUGGUCUCAUUUGAUUACUGUUUGCAUAACAUAUUUUUACUGCCUCUUUACUUUUAAGCUCUUUGUGUCUAAAAUGUUUCUGUUAUAGUUAGCAUAUAGAUUAUGGAGACUAUUAAUAUUGCAAAUGUCUGUCUUUUUAUUCACUAAUUUAAUCCAUUUACAUUUAAUCAAAUACUGAUACUUGAGUUUACAUCUGUUACUUUGCUAUUUGUUUUCUAUAUUUAUUAUAUUGUUUUUGUUCAUCUCUUUCUCUGUUUUGUCUGCUUUUAUGUUAAAUUGGGAGUUUUUUUGUACCCUUUUAACUACCUGCUUAUUUUGCUUUAUUUGGGGUAAUUUUUUUUUCUGUUGUUGGCCUUGGAUUCCAAUUUCCAUUCUAAAGUUAAGCAAGCUAGUUUAUAUUUAUACUAAAUUAAUUCUGAUAGUAUACAAAAAUUUAUUCCACUAUAACUCACCCCCUUCUCAUUUUUGCUGUUAUACAUAUUGACUACAUCUCUAUACAUCAUAACCAUAUCAAUAUAGAUUUAUACUUACUGAUUAACAUAGCCAUCUUUUAAGUCAGAAAAAAAGGUGUUGAACCAAAUAUAUUCAUAUUAUCUUUUAUAAUUACCUAUGUAGUUACCUUUACCAGUGCUCUUUAUUUCUUUGUGCUGAUUUAAUUGCCUUUCAUUUCAGCUGGAAUAGCUCUCUUUAGAAUUUAUUCUACACAAUAAAUUCUCUCAUUUUUAUUUUUAUAUGGGGAUGGCUUUAGUCUUAUUUUUGACAGAGAGGUUUUUAAAUGUAGAAUAUUUAAUUGAUAUUUUUUCCCUUUUAGCACUUUGAAUAUGUCAUGCCACUACCUUCAGGCCUACGUAAUUUUAAUGCCAAAUCAGUAGUUGGUGUUUGUGACAAUACCAAUGUAAUAAGUUAUUUUUCUUGUGUUGUUCUUCAAAUUCUCUUUGCAUUGGCUUUUUGACAGUUUAGCCAUGGUGGAUAUAUUGUAGAUUUCUUCUAAUUAAACUUUAGUGAGCUUCUUAGAUGUGGAUCAAUAUUUCCAUCAAGUUGAAAAGUUUCAGCUAUUAUUUCUGCAAAUAUUUUUUUCCUUUUCCUUUCACCUUAUUUUCCGAAAUUCCUGUUAUACAUAUGCUGGUGUAUUUAAUGGUGCCCAUAGCUCUCUAAAUUUUUAUAAAAUUUCCUUAUUUUUUUUCAUUCUGUUUCUCAAACUGGGUAGUCUCAAUUGACCUAUUUCUAUGUACAAGGUUGCAGAUUAUCUUCUUCUGACACUCAGAUCUACUGUUGAGCCACUCUAGUAACUUUUGUAAAUUUUGGUUAUUGUAUUCUUCAUCUACAAAAUUUAAAUUUAAAUUAAUUUAUAUAUCUUUUCUCAUGUUAUUUUGUGAGAUAUUACCAUACUUUUCUUUAAUUCUUUGAAUAUAUUUUCUUUUUGUUAUUUGAAAAUAUUCUUAUUAGCUGAGUUAAAGUUUCUGGGCCCUGAAUAGAUAGUUUCUAUUUAUUGGUUUUAUAUAUGUGUAUGGGUUAUAGUUUACUAUUCCUUUCUGUUUUAUAAUUUCUUCUUCAAAACUAAACAUUUUAGAUGACAGAAUAUGACAAUUUUAAAAUAAGAUAUCCUUUUCUCUUCUGGUUAGAUUUUGUUGAUGUUUUUAUUAUUUCUUUAAAUUAUGGUUUUGGCUUUUUUUAUUUAAUAAAUUUUCUGGACUAAUUCGGUAAAGUUUAUUUCCUAUAGUACAUGGUCAUUAAAUGUUCUCCCCGAAUGUCUUAGUAGUCAGCUAGUAAUUAGUCAGAGAUUUCCUGAAAUGCCUUGAACUAAUAAACCUUCAAUCAUUUGCUAAGGAACUUCAUGUAUAUGUGAAGGGAUUCCUUCAAUGCUUAAGAUUACAACUCUACUUCAAGGUCUGUCAGAAGUGAGUGAUUGAGGCUCUCUUAUGUCAUGUCUUUAUUUUGGUAGGUACCUAAUCAUGCACAUGUGCAUAGUUUUCUAAAUUUUUAUGUGUAUUUCAGAGCAAUUCCAAACUCAUGAUCAACACCUGAUUAUCCAGAUAUUUAUUUUAAAUUUUUGUCAAGGCACUUAUGUGCCCCCACUGUAUUGAAGCUUUAAGCAGCUGCAAGGUUAAACAAUUCCUUCUAAUUGUUGCAAACAUAGUGAAGAUGGGGAAUUUUCUUGCAGAGCAGAGCCUGUCUUUUCAAAUAAAGACACUUGAAAAUGGGGCUUUGCCAGGGAGCUAUGGCAGAGAUAGAAUAAUAAUAAUGCUCUAAGGAUGGAGCUUUUCACUAUUGUUGAAGACCUAUGCACUAUAAUUCUUUAAAGAGCAGAUGUUUCACACGUUUACAAAGUAUGCAAGUAAUUUUUCAAAAAAAGUAAGUUUUACAAGGAAAAGUGAUUCUAUGAAGAAUAUAACCAUGAAUUAAAGCACCAAAAAUAUGAGAUUGAAAGCAUAAAAUAUUUGAGGACUUCAUAAUAGUUUGUUCAAGCUAGAAAUUAGUAUACAUGUAAAGGACCAAUAAAUUCUAAAGCUAAAAAACAUAUACACCUCACCCACGAAUGUAGGCUAUAAUAGGUAGGUGAUGAAUUUUAACCAUGGAAGUGUGAGAGUUAGGGGUGGAGUGUGUUGUUGUUGUUGUUGUUGUUGUUGUUGUUGUUAGAUGGAGUCUCACUCUGUCAUCCAGGCUAGAGUGCAGUGGUGCAAUCUCGGCUCACUGCAACCUCCGCUUUCUGGUUUCAAGUGAUUCUCCUUAGACUCUUGAAUAGAUGGGAUUACAGGCACCUGCCACCAUGCCUGGCUAAUUUUUGUAUUUUUAGUAGAGAUGGGGUUUCACCAUGUUGGCCAGGCUGGGCUCGAACUCCUGACCUCGUGAUCCGCCCUCCUCAGCCUCCCAAAGUGCUGAGAUUACAGGCGUGAGCCACCAUGCCUGGCCAGGUUGGAGUUUUAUGGAAUGGCUAGACAUCAUAUUUCUAUUCCUAUCUGCUCCCCAAAUGGAAAUUCUUGUAUUAAUGAUCAAUUUCCUUCUUUCCAAGAAGAACCAACCUGUUAAUAUAUUUGUAGUUUCUUCCAUAACAAAACAUUUGAUAAAUGCAGCUUGGAUCCUCAUAAUGAUUUACACCUCAGCUAUCUCAGGCAGUACUUAAAUACUAGAGUCAUUGGGAGAUUCUAUUAGAAAUUGCAAGGUUUAGAGGUCUGGUGUCUAUUAUCAUGAAAAGCACAAAUAUUUAUCCAACCUAACCUGGUAAAUAAUCUUCAUGGGGCCAAUUUCAAUAACUUUUGUGACAUCUCCUCAGAGACUUUCCCAACCACUAUUUUUUAAAUUUUACCUCUACCAUUGUCUCGCAUCUUCCUCUGCUGUAUUUUUCUGCAUAAUAUUUACUGUUGCCCAAUAUUAUGUUUAUUACUUUAUUGUUUGUAUUUUAACUUAAGAUGUGAACUCCAGAAGGGCAGUAAUUGUGUCCCAUUAAUUGAUUGGCACUUAGAAAUGUUCAGGCAUUUACAUAGUAAGUGCUCAUUAAUAUCUGGUUAAUAAAUAAAGUAUUUCCCCUGUUAACAUCACCCAAUAUAGAAAACUGCUCACCCAGGGUAUGUAAAUAUUUAUGUAGUAGUACACGAUCAUCUUUUAAUUGUUCAUUUUCUGCAAAUUGUAAAUGUAUGAUUAUGUGGUUCUUCGUUUCUACUCUAAAAUUGUGGUAGUAUUAUGUCCCAUUCUGCAGAAACUUGACUACAUAGCAAAACCUGAAAUUUUGCUAAUCCCUAUGUUUAUGCUAAUAACGAAAAAUAGAUAUCUCUUGAAAGAUUUCCCGGACUCAUCACUGUGCUCUAAAUUUUUCCUGCAUCCUUACUAAAAAAGCAUGAAGGAGGUUCUAGAAGUGUGGCUUAGAGAGGCCAAAUCACACACUUAAUUAGUAGCAAAAACAUGACUCAGAUGAGAUUGAAUUUGAAUCUCAUUUGACCUUUGAAAAGUCUUGCUUGUAUUAGUUUUCUAUAUCUGCUGUAACCAAUUACCACAAACUUAAUAGCUUAAAACAACACAUGUGCAUUUUCUUCCAUUUCUGAAGGCCAGAAUUCUAAAAUGUCAUCAAAUCUAGAAGAGCUGAGUGGAGUCUUUCUUACAUGGUAUCACUUUGAUCUCUGCCAGUGUCUUACCACUUCCACCUAUUUUUCUUUUUUUUUUUAGACAGAGUCUCACUCUUGUCGUCCAGGCUGGUGUGCAGUGGCACAGUCUCAGCUCACUGCAGCCUCUGCCUCCCGGGUUCAAGCGAUUCUCCUGCCUCAGCCUCCCAAGUAGCUGGGAUUACAGAUGCCCACCACCAUGCCCAGCUAAUUUUUGUAUUUUUAGUAGAAACAGGGUUUCACCAUGUUGGCUGGGCUGGUCUCAAACUCCUGACCUUGCUGCCACUGUCACUUUUAAGGGCCUUAGUGAUAACAUUGGUCCCACUUGGAUAAUUCAUAAAAAUAUUUCCAUCUCAAGAUUCUUAAUUUAAACACAUUUACAAAGCAUUUUUCACCAUGUAAAAUAUUUAUAGGUUGUAGAGAUAAGGUCAUGAAUAUCACUGAGGGAACAUCACUCUAUCUACCACAAUGUUUUCAUUCACUGUAAAGUGCUGGCUGAAAACAAUAUUCAUCCCAAUUACUUUAUAUCACUGUAUAGUUCACAAAAUAUAUAAAUAGCGUAAAAUAUUUUUCUUCUGGUUACCCUUUACACCCUGAAUCCCUUUACACUGUCUCAUUAAAACAUGAUAUUCAUAAAUCUCAUAAUUGGUUAAUGACAACAGCAUUCAUACUCCAAAAACUCUAGUUCAGAAGGUUUGAUCUGGGCCAGAACAUUAUUAUUUUUCAAAAUUCACCUGGAAAGUCUGACCACUUGUUAGAACCACUGAUACUCAAAAACAAAUCCAAACUCCUUAGACUGAUAUAAGGAUCUUUUAUUUCUCAACCUUAUACCUCCUCAGUGUUUUUCAGUUCAUGGAAUGGAUGUAAGCCUAAUACACUUCAAUUACACAUAUUAUCUAGAUAGCAAAAUAUGCCAUCUUAAUAUUGCUAUGCUUUUAUCUCAGAAAGAUAGCAGAGUUACUAACAUCUGACCAGGAAACAUCUCUUCUUCCUUCAAUUUUCUAUCAAUUUCCUCUGUGACUCGUUCUUUGAAGAUCUCCUUUUUCCAUCUUCUUAUUUCAGUGUGCUUCACCAUAUUUUGUUUUCACCCUUCUUAUAUGUUAGUUUAUUACUAAAAUUAUGUUAACUGAAUUGUAAUUACUUACUUCUGCAUAUUUUCUUCACCAGCUAUGAACUCCUUAUAGCCAGAAGUCCUGCCACUUUUUUAUAUAUACGUAUACAGUCAGGCACUGCCUAACAAUGGGGAUACUUUCUGAAAAAGGCAUCUUCAAGUGAUUUUAUCAUUGUAUAAACAUCAUAAAGUGCACUUACACAAACCUAGAUGGUAUAGCCUACCGCACACCUAAUCUAUAUGGUAUAGUCUAUUGCUCCUAGUCUACAAACUUAUAUAGCAUGUUACUGUACUGAAUACUGAGGGCAAUUUUGACACAAUGGGAAGCAUAUGUAUAUCUAAACAUUUAAAAAGCACUGUAAAAAUCUGGUAUAAAAGAUAAAAAGUCUUACACAUGUAUAGGGCACUUACCAUGAUGGAACUUGCAGGACUGGCAGAUGCUCUGGGUUAUGAGUAUUGAGUGAACGUGAAGGCCUAGGACAUUAUUGUACACUACUGUAGUCUUUAUAAACACUAUAGACAGGCUACAUUAAAUUUAUGAUAAAAAUAUAUUUUUAAUAAUAAAUUAACCCUAGCUUACUAUAAUUUCUUCAGUUUAUAAACCUUUUUAACUUUUUGACUCAUAAAGCCCUGAGCCUCAAAUACAAACACAUUGUACAGCUAUACAAAAAUAUUUUCUUUCUUUAUAUUCUUAUUCUAUAAUUUAUUUCUAUUUUAAAUUUUUUAAAUUUUUUAAAUUUAACCUUUUUGGUUAAAAACUGAGAUAUAAACAUACAUACUUGCCAAGGCCUACACAGGAUCAAGAUGAUCAAUAUCAGUGUCUCCCACCUCCACAUUUUUUUGCACUGGAAGGCCUUCAGGGGCAAUAAAAAGUAUAGGGUUGUCAUCUCCUGUAAUAAUCAAUUCCUUCUUCUGGAAUACCUCCUGAAGGACUUGCCUGAGGCUGUUUUAUGGUUACCUAUUUUUUAAUAAGUAAAAGGAGUUUGCCCUAAAAUAAUGAUAAAAUGGAUAUUACAGCAAAUACAUAAACUAGUAAUACAGUAAUAUGUCAUCAUCAAGUAUCAUAUACUGUACAUAAUUGUAUUGCUAUACUUUUACAUGACUGGCAGGACGGUAGGUUUGUUUGCACCAGCAUCACCACAAACACACAAGUGAUGUAUUAUGCUACAAUAUCACUAGGCAAUAGGAAUUGUUCUCCUCCAUUAUAAUUGAAUGGGACCAUCAUCAGAUAUGCAGUCCUUCAUUGACCAAAAUGUUGUUAUAUGCAGCACGUAAGUGUAUUUGAAAAAAUAUAUGAGAUAUUUACAUAUUUUUUAACAUCUAUCAUAGUGUUUCAAUUGUGAAAGUUAUUUCAUAAACCUUAUGGAAGUUAUAAAUGAAAUAAUAACUGACAUAUCCUAAGAUUUUUUGGUAAGGCCUAUCUGGGACUUAAUCUAAAUGAAUCUAUGCAUUCCCUGAGACAUUUUUUUGUACCAAACUCAAUUCCUAGAAAGGAAAACCAGAUGUGAGGGAUGCAAAGGCAACGAGCACAGUGUAAAUGGAAAGGACUAAAUUUUGCAGAUUAAGCCCCCACUUUGUGGAAGGAGGCCAUGUUCCAUGGCAUAGAUAAGGCACAGGGAAAACAAAGGUUGCCAACAGUAGGGGCAUGGAGUUGUAGGUCAGUGCAGAUAAUUUCUGUUCCCUAGGAACUCUCUUCUUCACAGAUACUGGCCGCAGUGGCACCCAAGGAUGGCAUCCAUCUAAGGUAGUCCAGACUCGGGCAUAAAAAGAUGAAUGAGAAAAGGUGGAUGCCCAUUUUCUCUCUCCGUCAACCCCCAGAUUUUUGCUGAAAGAGGGAAGGGGAGUGAGGGACACCUAUUACUUUCCCUUUCAGAAUGAGCAACCAACUAUCUUCACAACCCUCAGUCUAUACUCCUCUGGAGUGCAUCCUGAAUCACUGGGACUGCUUUGACCCUUAAACUCUGAUGGAAAAAUGCCUCACAGCCCUUUACACAAAGCUUUGGCCAAAUUAUGAUCUGAAGGAAGGAGUGUCUUGGCCUCAGGAAAGAACCAUUUAUUUUGAUACCAUUCUGCAGUUGGACCUUUUCUGUAAACACGAGGGCAAAUGAUCUGAGGCCCCAUAUGUGAAGGCUUUCUUUACCUUGCAAGGUGUAUUAGUCAGGAUUCUCUAGAGGGACAGAACUAAUAGGAUAUACAUAAAUGUGUAUGUGUGUAUAUAUACAUAUAUAAAGGGGAGUUUAUUAAGUAUUAACCUACAUGAUCACAAGGUCCCACGAUAGGCUGUCUGCAAGCUGAGGAGCAAGGAGAGCCAGUCCGAGUACCAAAGAUGAAGAACUUGGGGUCUGAUGUUCCAGCACAGGAAGCAUCCAGCACAGGAGAAAGAUAUAGACUGAGACGCUAAGCCAAGUUAGCCCUUUCGCAUUUUUCUGCCUGCUUUAUAUUCUAGCUGUGCUAGCAGCUGAUUAGAUGGUGCCUACCCAGAUUAAGGGUGGGUCUGCCUUUCCCAGUCCACUGACUCAAAUGUUAAUCUCCUAAGGCAACACCCUCACAGACACACCCAGGAUCAAUACUUGCACCUUUCAAUCCGAUGAAGUUGACACUCAGUAUUAACCACCAUAAGUCCACCUCUUGUCAACUUGAACCCAUACACAUCUCCUUAGAUCAUAUGUAAUCCUCAAAUAAAGACAACAAUGAGGUCAUAAUUACACCUAACAUAAUACAACUAUCCUUUGUACUACUGGAAACGCACCAAUCCCCAACCCAAAUGCUAUUACAUAAAGUUAACAAUACUUAAAUGCUGAUAUGAAGUCAGUAAAUCCUAUGUCACAUGAUAAAGGAAUAAAAUAAAGAUAUUUUCUUAGAACAAGUGUAUACAUACACAAACAUGUUUCUAAUAAAAAAAGGAGAAAAUACUCAUGACAAUUACAGUGCUCUUUUCUGCAACUGGUCAUGUGGUCAUAGUUGGUAUUAAUAACUACCUUCUUCUACUACCCAUUCUGUAUUUCCUUUGCCUUCAGUAAGCACUUCAGCAAGCCAUAUUUUUUUUUUUUUCUUCCUGGUGGAGCAACACAAAGCUCCAAACCUGAAGGGCCUGGGUCAUUUGUAGCCCUGCCUGGACUGGGCUGUUGUAAUUUCUCAUUGACCUUAAUCACAGGGCAUGGUAACACUAAGAGAUGUCCUAAUGGAUUUCCUGUAUUCCAUGCAUACUCUUCCUUACCACCAUUGUGGAUUUGUACACUGAUUUCAUCUUGAUAGUCCAUGUCAAUCACCCCAGCCAACACUAUAACUCUCUUCUUAGCCUGUUGACUUAAAGGUAGCAGGAGCCCAAAGUGUCCAGGUGGUAAUCUUAAUUUCCAGAUUAAUUGACUCCUAGGCUUAGCCAUUUAGCUUAGAGAUAACCGUGAUGACCUCUCACAUGCCCUAAAGACAUUUUCCUCAUUCCUUCUGCUAAACUUCCUCUUACAAGUUUGAGUUUCGAAAACUGUGGUGGAGUUAGUGAGAUACACAGAGAGUGGACAAUACUCAACACUGUGAUGUGCCAUCCACAUCCAUUUUCAGGACCAAAGUUGAGAAUGUCAGCAGAGAGCCCUCAACUGUCCACAUUCUCUGUAAUUAUCUUGGCUGAAGAGAGAUGCUGCUCCCAAAGUGAUGGUCUAAUCUCAAGGAAGCUACCAUCCAAUGACUUCCAUAGGAUAAUUCUAAAAGGCUAUUCUAACAUUGUAUUUUCUUUUGGUGUCAUAUGAGACCUUCACUGAGACUGUAUCAUUAUCUAAUUUUUCCCUCUGGCCAAUUCUGCUUCCAUUCUUUCUCUUCAAUAGGGGUUGAUCCCAAAUUCCUCCCUUGAUAAACCUUCUCCAUGCUGAUCUCUAAUGAAAGACUCUGCAUCCUGGAAAGCCUUAUGAGGAUGCUUAUUAAAGUGCAAUGGAAUGUAAUAGGAAACUCAAUAUCUAAUAAGCCCUAAUCAAUAUUCCUUUCUGUGGUUCCAUUAAAAAAGGGUUUCAAAUUAAGAAUGUAUUUUAAUUUCAAUGACCAUUUCAAAAUUGGUCAAAAAUUACAUUUCAAGAAUAUAAAAUUAUUUUAUAAGUCAUAAAGUGAAAAUAAAAUAUUAUAUGAUAUGAAGCCAAGUCUUAUUUUUCUUGUAAAGUACAAAUGAUAAAUUGAGUUGUAUUAUUCACAUAAAGAACUCUGAAAAGUUAAUAACAUAUUUAAGAAUUGAAAGAUCAUAAAAAGCAAUAAGGUAUUGGGGUCCAGAACAAGGGAUAGUAAUAAAUUAUUUGUGUAUGUCCCUGUCGCUCUCUGUAUGUGUGUGUGCGCACACAUGUGUGUCUGUGUCCAAAUAAAGAGGAUAGAAAAAAUUUGCUUUCACAUAGGUUGAGGUAGGUUGUGAUUCUGGGAAUUUGUCUACUGCUUAGUGGAAUUAGUCAUAUUCUGAAUGAGGGUACCAUAUUCGAGUGAAAGUGAAUUCUAAUUUGAAUUCAAAUAUUCUUUUUACCAGAUGUAUAUUAAAUUAUUACUAUAAAUAGGUAACCAAGAGAAAAAUAAAUAUCUAAACCCAUGAGUUACCUACCAUAAUUUUAUAAAGCCACAGACUUUCUUUUAAAUACACUGACUAGAGUGAGAAUAUUAAACUUGAAGAAAAACUCUGUAUUUUUCCAUCUCUGUUUAUUUAUUCUAUAGGCAGAGCCUCCACUUGAAUUAGUGGGGAUAAAGGGAAAAUGUGUAGAGCAUACAUUUGAGUCUCUUGCCCUGUAUUUAUGGAUAUUGCAAAGCACAAUUUUAUUCUUUCACUGGAGACUGUGUCUUAAGAUCCUCUCUAAUCAGCACCAGAAAAAAGCAGGAAAAAGCAGGUAUUCUACCACAGCACAAAACUGUAUCUGGAAGUCUCCCCUUUAAACAUACCUGCAUGUAUGCAUUUUAUACUAGUAGCUAACUGUUACUUCACUUUUAGGAUUUUGUUGUGGCGAUGUUGUUUUUGCUUAAAAAGAAGGCAAUAUUUUCUCAGAAAUAUUGUCACUUUUUAAUUUUUAAAUUGAAAGGUAUAAACAUAGACAUUGUAGACAUUUCAUCUUUCAGCCCAUUUGUCACAUAUUAUUUUCACUUUCUCCAAUUUCUUCCUUGUGAACAAGUCUUCAAGAACUUGGUUAAAUAUUUCUUUUUUUCUUCUCUUCCAUUAACAACAUAUGUUUUAUGAAAAAUAUAGUUGCUUAUAUUCAAUAAUUUAUUGUCUUUUAUGUAUUUGUAUUCAUUUGGCCUUUGUCUUUGAGAAAUCAUUAUAAUAAGAAUAUAAUAUACACCAAUUAUUCAAAUAUUAUGAAUUUCAAGGGCACUGGUUUUCUACUUAAUUAAAGAUGCUUUUAAAAAUGCAUAAAAUAUAGCUUUCUUUAUCAUAACAGUUUCAUCGUAAUAUUAUUUUUAUUUAAAAAAAAU